ensembl:lncRNA
GUGGGGCCUGGAGCAGAUGUGGGGGCGCACUGUUUGCUUCCCCUCUGCGGGAGCUGCACUGUGGGAUCCAUGCUUAGCCUCCAACCUGAUACAGUCCACUUGGCAGUAAGGCGCCCCUGCGGCGGGGCACUGCUGCAGCCCCUGCCGGCAGAAGCAGAGCUGCCAGGGUUGGCUCAUUUGUAUCACUGGGGGAAAGCUGGCAUCAGGGACACUUUUAUUCUAUGUUGAAGGAGCAGCAGACCUUUGAGCUGCAGGUAAAGGUAUUUGUCUGAAAACUCCACUCUAAGAAAUAACAAUGAAAAUGGACCUUCUGGCAUCUGGGUGGUCAACAGAGACAGUGGAGCACUAUUCUGGCCAGAACUACCUCCUGUAUGAACACCAUGUGGCAACAUGACUAGUUCUGCUGCAACAUUCCCCAUGGCAAGGAAUAGUGCAUGCAUGAACACAACUGCACGUAUGGGAAGCUUCUCCAGGAGGUGCGAUAAGCUAUCAUCACGGUCAAUGAACAUCUGCUUAAACAGAAAGCAAGAAAUGACUGAGCAGAUGAAUGGAAGACAAGAACAUGACUUUUUACUUUGCAGGAAGUUCUCCCAUUUGAAAAAAAAAUAUUCAAAGUAAAGAUUAAAAAAAUAAAAUCCAAUCAAAUUUUCUGCAGAACUGGCUUCAUUGCUUUAUAAUCCAAAAUAAAUUGGUUAGAUGUUGAAUAUCUGAGGGUUACACACUUGUGAUGCUAAAAAUGGUAAAUAUUUGAGCUGAAAUAAUUUAAAAAUAAACAUUGUAAAUAAUUACCAGCUGGAGUCUAAAACAGAGGGAGUGCUAAUGGUUAUUUUACCUAAAAAGAAAUUCAGUGGAGCUAGUGAUUUGUUGUGAAACAUGCUCCUUUAAAUUAGUUACCUUUUUCAAUAACAGAAUAAAGUAUUCUGGGGAAAAGUUCUGAAGCUUUCUACUGCUUGGUAAGUGGUGGGUAAUGCCUAUUGAAAGGACUUGUAUUCAUUGUUGAAGCUCUAAAUUACUUUCAGCCACAUAGGAAUUUUUUUUUCCUCUCAGAAAAGCUGUGUGAAAUAUAUAGGAUCAAUGCACAAGUGUGGUCAAGAAAGUGAAUAGAAUGUGGAGCUGGCUAAGGUUAAAUGUAAGACACAUGAACCUGGCUCUCAGAGAACCCAUAAUUUCUGGGGAAUUCUGCUGCGGUUACAUCACUCGGUACUCUAAAUCUCACAGUUUUUAUUUUGCAGGUAGCACCUGACUUUAGAAAGCGUAUGACUAGGCAUCUGCUGUCAGGCAGCAAAUGGAAGAUGAGAGACCUUCAAUUUAACAAUACAAACAAUGCAAUAUGAAGCUGUGUUUUGUACAGCAACAAGUGCUGUAUUCACAUUAUUUUAGUUUUACUUUUAGAUUUCCAAAGGCUUUCAGACAUUGAUUUCUCUCUUUCCUAAGGUACAACUUCAGUUAGUUUUUGGUUUGGUUCCCUUGGGGAACAACAAACCUAAGAUUUUGUAAGUGAGGAAGCUGUGUUUGAAUGGUUAGCAAUGAUGCAGAGAGUAAUUGCCAAAUUAUGAUUUAAAAGGUGUCGUGCUUAAAAAGCUUCUUGAGUGGCAGUGGAUUUAUUUCAGGUGGCUGAACUAUUUACUGCAAAGCAAAAAAGCCUAAGUGAAAGUGCUCCAAAAUGGGUAUUAGGAAUGCGUAUCUAGAGAAACUUCUCUCAGAAGCUGUGCAGGUGUAGCAUUUACAACACUUUUUAAAGCAGUACUUUUCAUGGCAAACACAGCAGGUUACACAUUUGGGAAAAGAAGACCAAGAAGUCCUGUCUUGUACUUCCUCAGCUCUAACAAAUGCAGCCACAGUAUAUAUAACUAAAGCCCUAAAUAAAUGGUGCAUUAAUUAAAGACAAAAACAAGCCUACUGAAAGCAGAAGGAAAUGGUGAGUUAUUUCUUGUUGUACAUGAUCUCUGUAUACAAUAGAACAUGUGUUAAUGUGUUUUGUGAUUGACUGGCGUUUUAUUUAUUCCUUACGAAAAUGGGAAGACAAGGAGCCUAGUGAGCAGGAACAGGGUUUCCAUCAAACAGGCAGGCUGCAGCUUGGAAAGACACCAUCACUUGCUGGUUUAAGAAAUAAGUGAAACAGAGCUCAGCAGGGACCUUCACUGAGCCUGUGUCACCCUCUCUUUUGGGCCUGCGCAGCUGUUCAUACAGCCAGUCAGUGAACCAUUUUGGGGAACUGAUCUGGCAGAAGAAAACAACAUCUUUAGGGGGGAGGAGUUCAGGGUGUAGUUCAGGUGGAUCUCUGCAGCAGCCCUGCUGGGGAGGAGACCAUGCAAACAGGGGUAACCUUGCGGAGGGGACCAAGCAUCUGAAGGCAGAAGUUGCACAAUGCAUUGCCAAAUGUUUCACACCCAAACCCGGUAAUAUUAAAAGGCAAGGAGCAACUAAGGGGAAAUAUGAUAGACUUCUGGAAAAAUACGUAUAGCUAUGCCUCAUGCUAUUUAAGAUAUUAAAAGUACAUUAAGGUACAUCGCCCAACUUGUAACCAACCAUAAAAGCAACAGGAAGAUAUAUAAAAAAAGAAAUAAAUAUCAGCUCUUGAGACUUGUAAGAAAUGUCAUCAUGCAGCCUCUGAUCACUUCCCUUUCUGUGCACUAGUACCAUCAAGAAGACUAGAAGGAAGAUAGUUGCAGCUCUGGAAGUGUGACAGCUAAAGGAUCACUAGCAACAGGAGCUCAGAAAUCUAAGCCUGUGGGCUCUUUGUCUCAGAAAUAAUACUUACAGGUACUCUCUGCAAGAGUUUACAUGAUACAACAGAGGUGGGAAAAAAGCAGGUCUCCUAUAUGGUUCUUUUUAUGCGGUACCAGUGCAGGUGUGACAGCUUUUAGAUUUGAGUUGUCAUGCUGAAUUCUUUGCUAGGUUCAAACAAAACUCAUCUGGGCUCCAGUCAACGGCAGUUAAAAGCAGAAAAGGAAGGAAGGGUGAAACCAAGCAAUUUCUCCUGAAACAGUAGUUUCUUACAGUAUUACAGACACUAAGGAAUACUAAUACAACCAAGUUAAGAGCUGUUUCUAAAC